rnacentral:rRNA from 1 species
GUCCCAGCAGCCGCGGAAAUACGUAGGUGGCAAGCGUUAUCCGGAAUUAUUGGGCGUAAAGCGGGCGUAGGCGGAAUUUUAAGUCUGAUGUGAAAGCCCACGGCUCAACCGUGGAGGGUCAUUGGAAACUGGAAAACUUGAGUGCAGAAGAGGAAAGUGGAAUUCCAUGUGUAGCGGUGAAAUGCGCAGAGAUAUGGAGGUUGACCAGUGGCGAAGGCGACUUUCUGGUCUGUAACUGACGCUGAUGUGCGAAAGCGUGGGGAUCAAACAGGAUUAGAUACCCUCGUAGUCC